rnacentral:rRNA from 1 species
GCAAGUCUGGUGCCAGCAGCCGCGGUAAUUCCAGCUCCAAUAGCGUAUAUUAAAGUUGUUGCAGUUAAAAAGCUCGUAGUUGUAUUUCGGGAUCAAUAUUUCGGUCAUGCCGUUGGUAUGCACUGUUAUCAUUGAUUUCUCACCUUCUAAAGAACCAUAAUGCCAUUAAUUUGGUGUUACGGGGAAUUAGGACUGUUACCUUGAAAAAAUUAGAGUGUUUAAAGCAGGCUCACGCUUGAAUACAUUAGCAUGGAAUAAUGAAAUAGGACAUCCGAUUCUAUUUUGUUGGUUUCUAGGAUCGAUGUAAUGAUUAAUAGGGAUAGUUGGGGGCAUUAGUAUUCAAUUGUCAGAGGUGAAAUUCUUGGAUUUAUUGAAGACUAACUACUGCGAAAGCAUUUGCCAAGGAUGUUUUCAUUAAUCAAGAACGAAAGUUAGGGGAUCGAAGACGAUCAGAUACCGUCGUAGUCUUAACCAUAAACUAUGCCGACUAGGGAUCGGAUGAUGUUAAUUUUUUAAUGACUCAUUCGGCGCCUUACGGGAAAC